CAUGGCUGUCGUCAGCUCGUGUCGUGAGAUGUUCGGUUAAGUCCGCUAACGAGCGCAACCCUCGCUGUAUGUUACAUGUGUCAUACAGGACCGCCGGUAUCAAGCCGGAGGAAGGUGGGGAGUGACGUCAAGUCCGCAUGGCCUUUAUGUCCGGGGCUACACACACGCUACAAUGGUCGGUACAAUGGGUUGCUAAGCCGCGAGGUGGAGCCAAUCCCCCAAAGCCGGCCUCAGUUCAAGAUUGCAGGCUGCAACUCGCCUGCAUGAAGCUGGAGUUGCUAGUAAACGCGCGUCAGCUAUAGUGCGUUGAAUACGUUCUCGGGCCUU
rnacentral:rRNA from 1 species